UACAGAGGUCUCAAGCGUUGUUCGGAAUCACUGGGCGUAAAGCGCACGUAGGCGGACGUGUCAGUCAGGGGUGAAAUCCCGGAGCUCAACUUCGGAACUGCCUUUGAUACAGCACGUCUUGAGUCCGGAAGAGGUGGGUGGAAUUCCUAGUGUAGAGGUGAAAUUCGUAGAUAUUAGGAAGAACACCGGUGGCGAAGGCGGCCCACUGGUCCGGUACUGACGCUGAGGUGCGAAAGCGUGGGGAGCAAACAGG
rnacentral:rRNA from 1 species